UUAAUUAGGACCAGCAAUUCAGCUCGCUAUUCCAUGCUACUUGGUAUUCGACUCGAAAUGUGCUCGAAAUCGAUCGCUCGUUUAAUAAAGAAGCGGAACACGAGCUGAAUUUUUCAGCUCGAAAUAUUAACAAGCCGAGCACGAGCUGAGAUCAGCUCACUCGUGUUCUGCUCGAUAAGACACACAUAUCGCAUACACACACAUAAAUUUUACUAUUUAGAUUUUAUACCAACCCAAUGUAAAAGACCCUAUACUUUACAAACUUUAAUUAUUAAAGGAAAAACUUCAAAAACCCCCUUGUAGUUUCAUAGUUUUUUCACUUUGCCCCUCUGUGGUUUAAAAUGUAUCAAUUUGCCCCCCUGUGGUUUCUUUUUUCUCUUUUUCUUAUCAAUUUCAUUAUUUUUUUUUAAAUCAAUAAUAAAGUUAAAAUUAAAGGGUACUAAAGUGAAUAUUUUAUAAAUCUAUAUGGGUAUCUGAAAUUUUUUGUAUAUAAUUUAAUGAAAUAUUAACGAAAAAACUACCGAAAAUAUAAAAACGAAACCACAGGAAGGCAAUUUGAUACAUUUUAAACUACAGGAGGGCAAAGUGAGAAACUACGAAACCACAUGAGAGAUUUUUGAAGUUUUUUCAUUAUUAAAUUAAGAUUCUAAUUUUUUUUUAUUUUUUCCAACUUUCUAUUCCGUAAUUAACGGAGCUGCCAAUCUAACUUACUAUUUGUAAUUAUAAACGAGCGUCAUAUUUAACUCGUUAAUAAAUAAGUAAAAUAUAAAUUGAAUUUUU
rnacentral:lncRNA from 1 species